GACGAACGCUGGCGGCGUGCUUAACACAUGCAAGUCGAACGGAAAGGCCUCUUUCGGGGGGUACUCGAGUGGCGAACGGGUGAGUAACACGUGAGUAACCUGCCCUCGACUUUGGGAUAACUUCAGGAAACUGGGGCUAAUACCGGAUAGGAGCUCCUGCUGCAUGGUGGGGGUUGGAAAGUUUCGGCGGUUGGGGAUGGACUCGCGGCUUAUCAGCUUGUUGGUGGGGUAGUGGCUUACCAAGGCUUUGACGGGUAGCCGGCCUGAGAGGGUGACCGGCCACAUUGGGACUGAGAUACGGCCCAGACUCCUACGGGAGGCAGCAGUGGGGAAUAUUGCACAAUGGGUGGAAGCCUGAUGCAGCAACGCCGUGUGCGGGAUGACGGCCUUCGGGUUGUAAACCGCUUUCGCUCAUGACGAAGCUUUGUGUGACGGUAGUGGGUAAAGAAGCACCGGCUAACUACGUG
rnacentral:rRNA from 1 species